UAUGUCCACAUCACGCUUAAACCACCAAUUCUCGUUCGAUCAGCGAAGUUAAGCAACGUCUAGCCUGGUCACUACCUAGAUUGGUGACCGUUUGGGAGUACCAAGUGCUGUAAG